rnacentral:rRNA from 1 species
UACGUAAGGUGCAAGCGUUAAUCGGAAUUACUGGGCGUAAAGCGUGCGCAGGCGGUUGUGCAAGACAGAUGUGAAAUCCCCGGGCUUAACCUGGGAACUGCAUUUGUGACUGCACGGCUAGAGUGUGUCAGAGGGGGGUAGAAUUCCACGUGUAGCAGUGAAAUGCGUAGAGAUGUGGAGGAAUACCGAUGGCGAAGGCAGCCUCCUGGGCCAACACUGACGCUCAUGCACGAAAGCGUGGGGAGCAAACAGG